GCCGGUCCAAGCCUCUCCCAAAGCCCCUGCUCCUCCUCCUCCUCCAGCCCUCCACUCCCGUCCCUCGAUCCUCCCCGCCAUCCCCCCCCCUUCUCCUUCUCUCUCCCUCUCAUCUGUCUUCUUCCCUUCCUUCAUCCAACACCUCUGCGGGGGGGAAAACCGAGGCCCCAGUGAGCCCACGGCAGGUCUGGGGCUCCAACCUGGCUCUGCCGCACGGCUCUGCCUUCCCUCCUUCUCUGCCCCCCAGCCCUGUCUGCACCCCCCAAAGCCAAGUGCUGGAGGUGGCCCCCUGGAUCCGCACAUGAGAAAAUGGGGAAGCUGCCCGUCCCCGCUGAGCCUGAGGACGCCAGGUCUCCCCUGUCUCUGCCCAUCUCUGUCUCUUUCCCUUGGGUGCCCCGAGCCAGACCUGUGUCUCCCCAGAUUAUCAGGUCGAUAGACAUUGGGAAGACAAGACAACGAAACUCCAGUGCGGUUCAGUGCUCACCGUUAGAAAAAGGUAACGGCUGCCAGAGGUGCAGGUGGAGACGUCAGGCGAGUCAGUGCUGAGGGCAGGAGUCUCAGGUCUCCGCUGCCGUGUCACGGCGAGCCGCUCCGAGCCCCGUGGGGACCACGGACAGCGAAGGGGUAGUGUGCCGCUCGGUGCCGUCUCGCAGAAAUCCGCUGAUCCCCGGCCACGAUGUGCUUUCCGUUGGCCAAAUGGGAUCUGGGAGUAAUCUGAGGGAGGCGGUUUGGGACUGAUUGUAUUAGGGCUCUUGUCUGAUCCACUCAGGGGGCUGCUGUGGUCCCUGGGCCGGGGGGCGGGGGGGAGGGGGGCAGCGGGGAGGAUGGCUCUGGUGUAGGUUUUUCCGGGCCUGAGCGGUCAGGAGAGUCGGAUCCUUGCCGUAUCGUAUUGUUACAUCACUUGCAGAGGCUUCCGGGGGUCGGGGGGAAAGUAGGCAAUGCAUUUGGCCAAGACUGACCCAGCUUCUCUGUGGGUCCGGUUCAUAACAGCUCGUUGAAGCAAUCACUGGUGAAUGUGAGCACUUUGCGAUCAUCUGGUCUAAGACAGGCUCCCUCUCCCCUCCCCCCUCCCCCCUCCCCCCUCCCUCCUCCCUCCUCCUUUCUAAAUUCAGAAUUCUCCUGAUUUGUCUCUUCAAGAUCUUCUCUUAAUAGACUGCUUUUUAGAGUAGUGUUAGGUGAUGGAAAAAUGCAGAAAAUAGAGCUCCCACGUACCCCCUGCCCCCUCCACAUUUCCCCCGUUGUCACCAUCUUGCCGUAGUGGGGCACAUUUGUUGCGGUCGAUGGGCCGAUAUUAAUACGUGACCGUUGACCAAAGUCCUCGUUGACAUUCGGGUUCAGUCUUCGCCUCGCCCCUCCCCCGGCCCAGGAGGUCGGUAACAGGGUCCUGCCCGAAAAGGGGUUUGCUUCCCAGGAGGACACGGGGCGCUUGGACAUGGCAGCAGCUCCCGAGCUAGUGUGUCCCGCUGGGCACAGACUCUCAAGUAGCAGUCGGCCUGUCUUCUCCCCUGACGCGUAGUUUCACGGCCCUGUUUGGGGCAGUUUGGGG
rnacentral:lncRNA from 1 species